rnacentral:rRNA from 1 species
AACGAACGCUGGCGGCAUGCCUAACACAUGCAAGUCGAACGAGAUCUUCGGGUCUAGUGGCGCACGGGCGCGUAACGCGUGGGAAUCUGCCCUUUGGCUCGGAAUAACAGUUGGAAACGACUGCUAAUACCGGAUGAUGACGAAAGUCCAAAGAUUUAUCGCCAGAGGAUGAGCCCGCGUAGGAUUAGCUAGUUGGUGUGGUAAAGGCGCACCAAGGCGACGAUCCUUAGCUGGUCUGAGAGGAUGAUCAGCCACACUGGGACUGAGACACGGCCCAAACUCCUACGGGAGGCAGCAGUGGGGAAUAUUGGACAAUGGGCGAGAGCCUGAUCCAGCAAUGCCGCGUGAGUGAUGAAGGCCUUAGGGUUGUAAAGCUCUUUUACCCGGGAUGAUAAUGACAGUACCGGGAGAAUAAGCUCCGGCUAACUCCGUGCCAGCCGCCGCCGUAA